rnacentral:rRNA from 1 species
CCCUUAGAUGUUCUGGGCCGCACGCGCGCUACACUGAUUCAUGCAACAAGUUUUGUCCUUGGCUGAUAGGCCUGGGUAAUCUUUGAACGUGAAUCGUGAUGGGGAUAGAUGAUUGCAAUUAUUCAUCUUCAACGAGGAAUUCCUAGUAAACGCAAGUCAUCAGCUUGCAUUGAUUACGUCCCUGCCCUUUGUACACACUGCCCGUCGCACCUACCGAUUGAAUGGUCCGGUGAAAUCUUCGGAUCUGAGAGAUGUCUGAUUAAUUUCGGACGCCUUUUGGAAAAGUUGCUUAAACCUUACCAUUUAGAGGAAGGUGAAGUCGUAACA